rnacentral:rRNA from 1 species
AUUGAACGCUGGCGGCAGGCCUAACACAUGCAAGUCGAACGAGUGGCGGACGGGUGAGUAAUGUCUGGGAAACUGCCUGAUGGAGGGGGAUAACUACUGGAAACGGUAGCUAAUACCGCAUACCAUCGGAUGUGCCCAGAUGGGAUUAGCUAGGAGGUGGGUUAAAGGCUCACCUAGGCGACGAUCCCUAGAUGGUCUGAGAGGAUGACCAGCCAACCUGGAACGGAGCUACUGUCCAGACUCCUCCGGUAGGCAGUGGUGGGGAAUAUUGCACAAUGGGCGCAAGCCUGAUGCAGCCAUGCCGCGUGUAUGAAGAAGGCCUUCGUGUUGUAAAGUACUUUCAGCGGGGAGGCGUUACCCGCAGAAGAAGCACCGGCUAACUCCGUGCCAGCAGCCGCGGUAAUAC